rnacentral:rRNA from 1 species
AUGGCUCAAGGGGUGGCUGCGGGCGGAGGAUCAAGCACGACUGCGGGCGCCGGAGCAAGCACCACGGCGGACGACGACCCAGGCACGGCGGACGGCGGCCAAGGCGGGGCUGGGGAUGGCUCGUCGGUGAGGUCCGCUGUGCAGCACUUGCCGGUGAGCUCAGCUGCAGGCGGUGCAGGCCAUGGCGAUGCUGCAAGGUUGGGCGUGGAUGCGGGCUUGGGCCACGGUGCUGCUGCAGACUUAGAAGGUGAAAAAAACCCGUUUGGUCAUGAUUGCUCUAAUGCAAGAAGGAAAAAGAAGGUGAAGAAUGCAACUAAGUACUGGAUAUGUGAGAAGGUGAAGGACUGGCUCAUUGAAGAUGCAACUCUAGGAGCAAAGGAAUUGCGAAAGAAGCUUAAAGAACACCACAAGGUCAAAAUCAACUACAAGAGAGUAUAUAUGGGUAAGUUGCUAGCCUUGAAGCAACUAUAUGGUGAUUGGGAUAUCAGCUUUGACAAUUUGUAUAGGUUUAAGGCACAAGUUGAAAGUUGUUGCCCUGGUAGCAUAGUGCAGAUCGAUCAUCACACAAUAAAUGGUAAAAUCAGGUUUAGAAGAAUUUUUGUUGCUAUGAAACCUUGCAUAGAGGGGUUCCUUAGUGGUUGCAGACCAUAUUUGGCAAUAGAUAGCACAUUCUUGACGGGCAGGUUCAAGGGGCAGCUGGCUAGUGCUACCGCCAUUGAUGGCCAUAAUUGGAUGUAUCCGGUUAGUUUUGGAGUCUUUGAUUCUGAAACUAACGAGAAUUGGAUUUGGUUCAUGCAAUUGCUAAGACAGGCCAUAGGAUCACCAAAUGGGUUGGCCAUAUGCACCGAUGCUGGUCAAGCAGUAAUGACAGGGGUGAAAGAAGUGUUCCCAGAGGCGGAACAUAGGGAAUGCAUGUUUCACUUGGUGACCAACUUCAAGAAGAAGUUCCAUGGGAAGGUGUUUGAUGACCACCUUUGGGCUGCUGCUUACUCAUGGAACCCAUAUUUAUUUGACAAACAUUGGGUUGCUAUGGAGACAACGAAGCCAACUGCAACUGCAUAUAUGAGGAAGUGGCACAAUAGGUUGUGGUCUAGGAGUCAAUUCUCAACUAUAUGCAAGGUAGAUUAUGUAACCAACAACCUGGCUGAGAGCUUUAACAAUUGGGUUAAGCACCACAAGUCCUUGAACUUGGAUGACCUCUUUGAUAAGGCGAGACAAUUGAUUAUGAUAUUGUGGAACCGAAGGAGAAAAGUAGCAAACGAGUUAGAUGGUUUGAUUCUGCCCCACAUAAUUAAGAAGCUGAAUGCAAUGACCGGGGAAUUAAACUUGGAGGUGGUAGAAAGCUCAGAAGAAGUGGCUGAAGCAACUGCAUUAGGUGGUAGUGGCUUUAGGUUUGUGGUCAACUUGCAAGAGGGGACAUGUUCUUGUCGACAAUGGCAAGUUUCUGGCCAUCCUUGCAAACAUGCUCUUGCAUUCAUCACGUCACUUAGCAAUGCACACAUACGACACUAUGUGGACUUGUAUUUCUCCAUUGACAAAUAUAGAGCAGCUUAUGCCCAACUAAUUCCUGCCAUGCCGGACAAGACCCAAUGGCCUAAAUCUGACCAUGGAUUCUUCAUGCAUCCACCACUAUUGAAGGCCACGGCUGGUAGGCGUAAAACUGAGAGGUACAAAGGUUGUGGUGAGAAGGAAAGGAAAAGUGGUCAACACUUAUGCCCUAUUUGUAAGGAAUAUGGGCAUCGUUGGCACAAAUGUAAGAAGGGAAACCCAGAGGACAUUGCUGCAAUGAUGGCUGUGAGAGAACCACCAAAGAAAAGGACAAAGACAACCAAAACAGCUGAGUUAUCCAUUGUGCCUUGUGAAGAUGGAGUACCAACAAGAAUGUGUUUUCCCCAAGCAAAAGCUUGGAAACUACAACCAAAAAAAGGGGAAGCAUGUUAA